GGUGCUAUAGUGUAGUGGUCAUCACUCGGGAUUUUGAUAUACUUGGUUUAUUUGCCACUUUCCCGAAACCCAGGUUCGAACCCUGGUAGCACCU
rnacentral:tRNA from 1 species